rnacentral:rRNA from 1 species
AUUGAACGCUGGCGGCAGGCUUAACACAUGCAAGUCGAGCGAGCGGCGGACGGGUGAGUAAUGUCUGGGAAACUGCCUGAUGGAGGGGGAUAACUACUGGAAACGGUAGCUAAUACCGCAUACCAUCAGAUGUGCCCAGAUGGGAUUAGCUAGUAGGUGGGGUAAUGGCUCACCUAGGCGACGAUCCCUCGCUGGUCUGAGGGGAUGACCAGCCACUCUGGAAGUGGAACACGGUCCAGACUCCUACGGGGGGGAGGAGGGGGGAAUAUUGGACAAGGGGCGCAAGCCUGAUGCAGCCAUGCCGCGUGUGUGAAGAAGGCCUGCGGGUUGUAAAGCACUUCAGCGAGGAGGCGUUACUCGCAGAAGAAGCAACGGCUAACUCCGUGCCAGCAGCCGCGGUAAUUC